rnacentral:rRNA from 1 species
GCAGCAGGCGCGCAAAUUACCCACUCCCAGCUCGGGGAGGUAGUGACGAAAAAUAACGAACGGGACUCAUCGAGGCCCCGUAAUGGAGAGAACACUUAACUUUAAGAGGAUCAAUUGGAGGCAAGUUGGUCCAGCAGCCGCGGUAAUUCCACCUCCAAUAGCGUAUAUAAGUUGUUGCGGUUAAAAAGCUGUAGUCGAAUUUGUGUCUCGCGCCGUCCGGUUCAUCGUUCGCGGUGUCAACUGGCGUGUCGCGAGACGUCCUGCCGGCGGGUCGUUCGCAAGAGCGGCCCAACUGACCCCGCCGCGGUGCUCUUCAUUGAGUGUYGAGGUGGGCCGGCACGUUUACUUUGAACAAACUAAGGUGCUUAAAGCAGGCUGAAAUUUUGCCAGAAUAUUUUAUGCAYGGAAUAAUGAAACAGGACCUYGAUUYUAUUUUGUUGGUUUUCGGAACCUCGAGGUAAUGAUUAACAGGAACGGAUGGGGGCAUUCGUAUUGCGACGUUAGAGGUGAAAUUCUUGGAUCGUCGCAAGACGGACAGAAGCGAAAGCAUUUGCCAAAAACGUUUUCAUUGAUCAAGAACGAAAGUUAGAGGUUCGAAGGCGAUCAGAUACCGCCCUAGUUYUAACCAUAAACUAUGCCAGCYAGCGAUCCGCCGACGUUCCUCCGAUGACUCGGCGGGCAGCUUCCGGGAAACCAAAGYUUUUGGGUUCCGGGGGAAGUAUGGUUGCAAAGCUGAAACUUAAAGGAAUUGACGGAAGGGCACCACCAGGAGUGGAGCCUGCGGCUUAAUUUGACUCAACACGGGAAACCUCACCAGGCCCGGACACCGGAAGGAUUGACAGAUUGAGAGCUCUUUCUUGAUUCGGUGGGUGGUGGUGCAUGGCCGU